rnacentral:misc_RNA from 1 species
AUGCAAAGGGCAAAACUCCCAUCUGCAACAGAUAGAAAGCAACAGUUGGACCGAAUCAAGAUCCAGCUAAUAGCAAGGAGAAAUAUAAUUUUCAGCCAUCGGUAUAUUUUGGCAUGAAUCCAGUGCAAAUUCUAAGUACACAAGCAUUCAUGGCUCCAAUAUCAAGUUUAUCCACACAAAAUAGGAUUGCUAAUCCAAAAAUGCAACAGAUUGCAAAUACAACCUCCCUAAAUAACUUUGAAAAACUUGCAUUAUUCUACUCUAUAGAUGUACUGUGUCAUCACGGCUUCCUUGCCUCCUGCAUUUUUAUUAGGAAAAAGGACAAGGGGUUUAAGAGGUACGGAGGGAAUGGGAACCUAGUAACAUUGCCAAAUCAGAAAUGAAAUAGCAGUGCGUUGCUCAUCUCUGAUGUGAGGACUCCUGAAAAAGAAGCAAUAGUUCAAUCCCAACCUUAAACUCUCUCUCUCUCCCCUUAACAACUCCAUUUUGCAGGUUGUUAAUAUAUUCUUUAUUGCAAACAAAGGACAGAAGAAAAAUAGGGGCAAAGAAUAAAUAUUGUAGAUGACAUUAGCACAUCAUGAUUUGUUAUUCCAUAAAACAGAAGUAAAAAGUGGCAAUCCAAAUUACCACAAGGAAUGUAAACGUGCACCCUAGUCAUAUUUUAGAAGUUCAAAAACAGGUAAAUCCAAACCAACAAACUGGACCCAAGGCCAUUCCAAAAAUACCAAUAAUCACCAUUGUCAACAUGCUAGGAGGAUGCAUGUUGCUUUAAAUGGGUAUUGCAUGAAAAACAUAAAUAGUGAUUGCAUGAAAAUUGAAAUGCACCCUUGACAUGCUGUAAUUAUAAUGAAGCAUACCACAACUAUUUCCCAAAAGAAAAG